AGCCACAAAUAGUUUUUUAUGCCUCCCUGAGUGUGACAACAUGAAUGUCUGCUGCCUUCCUUUCUCCAAUGCAUAGUUUUUGCUCUCUGAAUUGUCCAUCACAGGUGCAGGAACAAGUACCCACAGCAGAUUGAAAGGAUAUGCGUAAAAUAUAUGCAUCAGUCCAGAUUGACAACUGCAUCAUUCGGCUGGUUUUGGAUCUAGCUAUGAACCCAUUUGGUCCGGACAAUUUAGAAAAGCUGCACAGAAAGCAAAUCGAUCAGUGGAUUCCACAUUGGUCUGUCCUUUCUACUACACCCACUUUUUUUUAGGCUGCAUUUUGUAUCUUUGGUGCCUUUACCGGCUCCAUUCAUUUGGAUAGACAUAUAAAAUUAUGAAAUUUUUUAUGCUUUUAGAAGCCUCUGAGAAGGCCACUUUUAACUGUUAGGGUUCCUCUAUGUGGGUGUUUUUAUAGGCUUGUGAUUAUCUACAGGGAUUUCACUUAUUGUAGGAGUUACGGCAGCAAAAUGCAGUCUUUAUGUACGGUCUAUAUUCUGGAGUUUUUCAGCUGUAUACAGACUCUGAUACUUCUGUGAUAAACAACAGAAAAGGCUGGCAAAAGUACGAAGUAGAUGUCCUAUGAAUUAUUUUCAAUGGAUGUGGUUUGCCUGGCUCCCUGUAUGCCAUCUGAGAAACCUGUCAAAACACUUGAUAUGCUUCACAGUUGGCAUUCAGGGAGACAUGCAGAACUCAAUACCUGAUCAGCCUCACCACCCUCCUUUAAAUAUAACCAGGUGAGUUUUCUGCUAAUCUUUGAAAAUUCUUCUUGUUUUUUUCUUUUCCUCAAUACCUGACUGAGGUAUGCAACCCCUAGAAGCUCAUUCUAUGGGUGCAGUGUGACACUUAAGAUUAUUUCCUUACAGAAAGAAUGGGUGGGUACCUUGUUCAUCAUGUUUACGAGGAAGGUGAAGAGAAACAAGAGUUGAAUCAUGUUCUAUCAAUUGGCUUACUAGUCUGUAACUCUAAAUUCAGCUUUUUAUUCAAUUAAAAAUAAGAGUCACCAUAUAUUUCUCAUUUUGACAGAUGACUUUACAAAACUCAAUUAAAGAAAAACAAAUUUUAUCUGAUUA